AUGUCAGACGUACUAGUUGUUUGUGUGCUCUUGUCUUGUUUUUGUGUUUCACAGAGUCUUUCAUCUCUGCGUGAGUUAUGUUCUGAUGUCAUGUUUUCCAUAGGUUUGAUUCAUCCCACCACGGGGAUACCUACUCCACCUUCCACAAUCCAACCAACUACUACUACUGCUACUGCUACUACUACUACUACUACUACAACACCUACCAUCAGACCACAACCCACUACUACUACAUCGACCACCACUAAACCUACCACCACAACCACACCACAACCUACUACUACCACCACUACACCUACCACCACACCACAACCCACUACUACUACUACCACCACUACACCUACCACAACUACAACCACACGACAACCCACUACUACCACCACUACACCUACCACCACAACCACACCACAACCCACUACUACUACUACUACCACCACUACACCUACCACCGCUACAACCACACCACAACCUACUACUACCACCACUACACCUACCACCACAACCACACCACAACCCACUACUACCACCACUACACUUACCACCACACCACAACCCACUACUACCACUACUACCACCACUACACCUACCACCACAACCACACCACAACCCACUACUACCACCACUACACCUACCACCACAACCACACCACAACCCACUACUACUACCACCACUACUACACAACCUACUACCACAACGACACAGCUGACAACCACAACAAAACAACCCUCUUUAAUGAUAGUAACAAUGCCUGUUAUAACACGACCGACUCCAACCACUACUACAACAACACAACAAACAACAUCCUGGUCACGACCAACUCCAACCACUACUACAACAACACAACAAACAACAUCCUGGCCACGACCAACUCCAACCACUACUACAACAACACAACAAGCAACAUCCUGGCCACGACCAACUCCAACCACUACUACAACAACACAACAAGCAACAUCCUGGUCACGACCAACUCCAACCACUACUACAACAACACAACAAACAACAUCCUGGCCACGACCAACUCCAACCACUACUACAACAACACAACAAACAACAUCCUGCAACAAUACUCCUACAACAAUAUCUACAAUAACCACUAUGAACAGAAAGCCCAAUAAACCUCCCAAAAAAACUAACAAAUUGUCUAAAAAACCCAAACCACAUCCUGCCACUACUACUACCACUACAACAACAACAACAACUUCUUUACCUGUCUCAACUACACCCCGCAGAGACCCAGACCCCAUCAGAACUACUGAAAAACUCCAGCCAGCCACUGAGCCAGCUACCACCACCACCACUUCUACUGGUGCUGCUGCCACCACUAAGAGCCCAGCAGCCAUUGAGCCCCUGAUCCCAAGGACAACACCAGAAAACGAGCUGGUGCUGGUGCCCAAGGGGGUCCAGGCAGCCCCAGCUUCCCCAGGGACAGAGGGUCAGGGCGGGGGGAAGGAGGUGGCAGGGCGGGGGGCUCUGAAGAGCUCCCUGGUGGCUGUGGUGGUGGUAGGCCUGGCCAUCCUGACUCUGGCCCUGGCUGUGGUUGGACGUAAGGCCAUGGAGUCAUUCGACCGGCGACACUACACCAGGCUGGAGCUUAACGACCUACACUACGAGGUGUGA
rnacentral:lncRNA from 1 species